rnacentral:rRNA from 1 species
UACGGGGGGCNGCAGUGGGGAAUAUUGCACAAUGGGCGCAAGCCUGAUGCAGCCAUGCCGCGUGUAUGAAGAAGGCCUUAGGGUUGUAAAGUACUUUCAGUUGGGAGGAAGGCGUUGAUGCUAAUAUCAUCAGCGAUUGACGUUACCAACAGAAGAAGCACCGGCUAACUCCGUGCCAGCAGCCGCGGUAAUACGGAGGGUGCAAGCGUUAAUCGGAAUUACUGGGCGUAAAGCGCACGCAGGCGGUUGAUUAAGUUAGAUGUGAAAUCCCCGGGCUUAACCUGGGAAUGGCAUCUAAGACUGGUCAGCUAGAGUCUUGUAGAGGGGGGUAGAAUUCCAUGUGUAGCGGUGAAAUGCGUAGAGAUGUGGAGGAAUACCGGUGGCGAAGGCGGCCCCCUGGACAAA